rnacentral:rRNA from 1 species
UACGUAGGGUGCAAGCGUUAAUCGGAAUUACUGGGCGUAAAGCGUGCGCAGGCGGUUUUGUAAGUCUGUCGUGAAAGCCCCGGGCUCAACCUGGGAAUUGCGAUGGAGACUGCAAGGCUUGAAUCUGGCAGAGGGGGGUAGAAUUCCACGUGUAGCAGUGAAAUGCGUAGAGAUAUGGAGGAACACCGAUGGCGAAGGCAGCCCCCUGGGUCAAGAUUGACGCUCAUGCACGAAAGCGUGGGGAGCAAACAGG